AUUGAACGCUGGCGGCAGGCCUAACACAUGCAAGUCGAGCGGAUGAAGGGAGCUUGCUCCUGGAUUCAGCGGCGGGCGGGUGAGUAAUGCCUAGGAAUCUGCCUGGUAGUGGGGGAUAACGUCCGGAAACGGGCGCUAAUACCGCAUACGUCCUGAGGGAGAAAGUGGGGGAUCUUCGGACCUCACGCUCUCAGAUGAGCCUAGGUCGGAUUAGCUAGUUGGUGGGGUAAAGGCCUACCAAGGCGACGAUCCGUAACUGGUCUGAGAGGAUGAUCAGUCACACUGGAACUGAGACACGGUCCAGACUCCUACGGGAGGCAGCAGUGGGGAAUAUUGGACAAUGGACGAAAGCCUGAUCCAGACAUGCCGCGUGUGUGAAGAAGGUCUUCGGAUUGUAAAGCACUUUAAGUUGGGAGGAAGGGCAGUAAGUUAAUACCUUGCUGUUUUGACGUUACCAACAGAAUAAGCACCGGCUAACUUCGUG
rnacentral:rRNA from 1 species